rnacentral:rRNA from 1 species
UACGGAGGGUGCAAGCGUUGUCCGGAUUCAUUGGGUUUAAAGGGUGCGCAGGCGGGACAUUAAGUCAGGGGUGAAAGACGGUUGCUCAACAAUCGCAGUGCCUUUGAUACUGGUGUUCUUGGGUGACCUUGAGGUAGGCGGAAUGGGUGGUGUAGCGGUGAAAUGCAUAGAUACCACCCAGAACUCCGAUUGCGAAGGCAGCCUACUGGGAGGUUUACCGACGCUCAGGCACGAAAGCGUGGGGAUCAAAACAGG